GUGAGGAAUAUUGCGCAAUGGACGAAAGUCUGACGCAGCCAUGCCGCGUGAAGGAUUGACGGCCCUAUGGGUUGUAAACUUCUUUUGUAUAGGAAUAAACCCUCGUUCGUGAACGAGGCUGAAGGUACUAUAAGAAUAAGCACCGGCUAACUCCGUGCCAGCAGCCGCGGUAAUACGGAGGGUGCAAGCGUUAUCCGGAGUUAUUGGGUUUAAAGGGUCCGUAGGCGGAUGGUUAAGUCAGUGGUGAAAUCCUACCGCUCAACGGUAGAACUGCCAUUGAUACUGGCGAUCUUGAGUAUGUAUGAAGGUGGCGGAAUGUGUGGUGGAGCGGUGAAAUGCUUAGAUAUCACACAGAACACCGAUUGCGAAGGCAGCUGACUAAUACACAACUGACGCUGAGGGACGAAAGUGUGGGGAUCAAACAGGAUUAGAUACCCCAGUAGUCC
rnacentral:rRNA from 1 species